CCUACGGGUGGCAGCAGUGGGGAAUAUUGCACAAUGGGCGAAACCCUGAUGCAGCGACGCCGCGUGAGUGAAGAAGUAUUUCGGUAUGUAAAGCUCUAUCAGCAGGGAAGAAAAUGACGGUACCUGAUUAAGAAGCCCCGGCUAACUACGUGCCAGCAGCCGCGGUAAUACGUAGGGGGCAAGCGUUAUCCGGAUUUACUGGGUGGAAAGGGAGCGUAGACGGCAGCACAAGUCAGGAGUGAAAUGCCGGGGCUUAACCCCGGAACUGCUUUGGAAACUGUGCAGCUAGAGUGCAGGAGAGGUAAGUAGAAUUCCAGGUGUAGCGGUGAAAUGCGUAGAGAUUAGGAGGAAUACCAGUGGCGAAGGCGGCUUACUGGACUGUAACUGACGUUGAGGCUCGAAAGCGUGGGGAGCAAACAGGAUUAGAUACCCUAGUAGUC
rnacentral:rRNA from 1 species